rnacentral:rRNA from 1 species
UUGCCAGCCCGCUCAGAAACUUAAAGGAAUUGACGGGGGCCCGCACAAGCGGAGGAGCAUGUGGUUUAAUUCGAUGAUACGCGAGGAACCUUACCUGGGCUCGAACGUAAGAUGACUGUAGGUGAAAGCUUACAUCUCUUCGGAGCAUUUUACGAGGUGCUGCAUGGUUGUCGUCAGCUCGUGCCGUGAGGUGUCGGGUUAAGUCCCAUAACGAGCGCAACCCCUACCUUUAGUUGCCAUCAGGUAAUGCUGGGGACUCUAAAGGAACUGCCUACGCAAGUAGUGAGGAAGGCGGGGAUGACGUCAAAUCAGCACGGCCCUUACGUCCAGGGCUACACACGUGCUACAAUGGCCGAUACAGAGGGCAGCUACCUGGUGACAGGAUGCAAAUCUCCAAAGUCGGUCUCAGUUCGGAUCGGAGUCUGCAACCCGACUCCGUGAAGUUGGAUUCGCUAGUAAUCGCGCAUCAGCCAUGGCGCGGUGAAUACGUUCCCGGGCCUU